CCUACGGGUGGCAGCAGUGGGGAAUAUUGCACAAUGGGGGAAACCCUGAUGCAGCGACGCCGCGUGAGUGAAGAAGUAUUUCGGUAUGUAAAGCCCUAUCAGCCGGGAAGCAAAGAGACGGUACCUGACUCAGAAGCCCCGGCUAACUACGUGCCAGCAGCCGCGGUAAUACGUAGGGGGCAAGCGUUAUCCGGAUUUACUGGGUGUAAUGGGAGCGUAGACGGCGCGGCAAGUCUGAAGUGAAAGGCAGGGGCUUAAACCCUGAACUGCUGUGGAAACUGCCAUGCUAGAGUGCUGGAGAGGUAAGUGGAAUGCGUGGUGUAGCGGUGAAAUGCAUAGAUAUUAGGAGGAACACCAGUGGCGAAGGCGGCAUACUGGACAGUAACUGACGUUGAGGCUCGAAAGCGUGGGGAGCAAACAGGAUUAGAUACCCUAGUAGUC
rnacentral:rRNA from 1 species